AUUGAACGCUGGCGGCAGGCCUAACACAUGCAAGUCGAACGGUAACAGGAAGAAGCUUGCUUCUUUGCUGACGAGUGGCGGACGGGUGAGUAAUGUCUGGGAAACUGCCUGAUGGAGGGGGAUAACUACUGGAAACGGUAGCUAAUACCGCAUAACGUCGCAAGACCAAAGAGGGGGACCUUCGGGCCUCUUGCCAUCGUAUGUGCCCAGAUGGGAUUAGCUAGUAGGUGGGGUAACGGCUCACCUAGGCGACGAUCCCUAGCUGGUCUGAGAGGAUGACCAGCCACACUGGAACUGAGCCACGGUCCAGACUCCUACGGGAGGCAGCAGUGGGGAAUAUUGCACAAUGGGCGCAAGCCUGAUGCAGCCAUGCCGCGUGUAUGAAGAAGGCCUUCGGGUUGUAAAGUACUUUCAGCGGGGAGGAAGGGAGUAAAGUUAAUACCUUUGCUCAUUGACGUUACCCGCAGAAGAAGCACCGGCUAACUCCGUG
rnacentral:rRNA from 1 species